CGUUGAGUGUGGAUGUGUUGGAGUGGCUUUUGCAUCGAGUUUUGGAGCAUUUCUGGAAAAAAAUUUGCAGAUUUUUUUUUUUUACUUUUUGGGUGCAUUUCUUAAGGAGUGCAAAGGUAGGGAGCUGAGCUUCAUCGUUUGCAUGCCUUUUACUGUGUGUUCUGCAUUGUGGGUUGGUUUCCAUGCCAGCUCAUUUUGACUUUUUUCUGACCUCUGGAACGGAUUAUUUGGUUUUCAAUGCAUUCCUAUGAGAAAC